GACCAGGAUUGUGAUCCAGCCGAAACCUCAUCCCUCAAACGUCGUGUCCACCAUCCGGUCUCACGGCAAUACAGGAAGGCAAUUUACGAGAGAGCAAAAUACACAAUGGACAGGUGCAACUCAGCGAUAAAGAGGAGAGGGAGGGGGUAGAACGGGGGAUGGGUGAAGGUGAGGACGAGGCCCUGGGGCUACAGAGGAGGUAGAACAAAGUAUGAGUAGGAGUAGAGAGGAUUUUACUUCUUCGAAAAAGGCCAGGGUAAUACCAGGACCACCCAGAAGUGUUCACCAGGAUUAAAUGGUUGUAAAUGAGUUAUUUUGGUCGUUGAUGAUCUACAUCGAGCUGACGUAAUUCAAACCUACAAAAUACUAAACAACAUGGACAUUCUUGAGAAGGGCAAAAUAUUCCACGAAGCUGAAGACAACCGAACCAGGGGGCACUCCAGGAAACUAUUCAAAAGACCAUGCAGACUAAACAAAUAUGGUUACUUCUACAGCAACAGAGUGAUAAAUAUGUGGAACUCUCUAACAGAGGAGGUAGUAAUAUCUCCAACGCUCAACACCUUCAAGUCACGGCUCAACAGCCACUGGAAACAUCAUCCGACAAAAUUCAAGCCAUUUCUUUAUUAGUUACAUAUAUAUAUAUAUGCAAGUCUAAUCAGUCAAAAGUGACAAUGUAACAAAUUGACUGUUUGGCACUGACCAUGAUUUUUAAAAUCAUAUGUUUUUAACCACCAAAUUGUAAAAGGAGAGGAUUUAACA